rnacentral:lncRNA from 1 species
CCCGGACGACAAGCUAACUAUGAUGAAAAAUAAUCAAUAAUAUUUGAAAAUAUGUUAAGUAGAUGAGCAAUAUCCUUCUCAGUAUUCAGUUCUGACAAUAUGUCAUAUAUAGAUUGGCUUCAACACCGGCAAUGUUCAACAGCACACUUACCGAAGAUGCGAUACAUCAUUGCCCAGCAGAUGGAGGCAUCAUGAUAACAGGUACUAUUCCCAGUUUGUAUG